rnacentral:rRNA from 1 species
GGUAUGGGAUGAGCUUGCGUCCGAUUAGCUAGUUGGCGGGGCAACGGCCCACCAAGGCGACGAUCGGUAGCCGGCCCGAGAGGGUGAUCGGCCACAUUGGGACUGAGAUACGGCCCAGACUCCUACGGGAGGCAGCAGUAGGGAAUAUUGCACAAUGGGGGAAACCCUGAUGCAGCAACGCCACGUGUGGGAAGAAGCAUUUCGGUGUGUAAACCACUGUCAUGAGGGAAUAAGGCCCGCCUUCGGACGGGAUUGAAUGUACCUUGAGAGGAAGCACCGGCAAACUUCGUGCCAGCAGCCGCGGUAAUACGAGGGGUGCAAGCGUUGUUCGGAAUUACUGGGCGUAAAGGGAGCGUAGGUGGAGAUUCAAGCGGAUUGUACAAUCCCGGGGCCCAACCCCGGCUCUGCAGUCCGAACUGGAUCUCUUGGAUAGUUCAGGGGCAGGC